rnacentral:rRNA from 1 species
AUGACUUAGUGAGGUCUUAGGACCGGAGUGAUGGAGCUUUAAUUAGUUCUUUUGCUUUGGAAAUUUGAUCGAACUACGUUAUCUAGAGGAAGUAAAAGUCGUAACAAGGUUUCCGUAGG